GAAGUGCAUGGGAAGGCACACCAGAGGAAGUGAAAGUCUUGUAUCCGAAAACAGAUCAGAGCUAGCAGUAUCCAGAGUACCGCGGGACACGUGAAACCCCGUGGGAAGAUAGGGGGACCACCCUCUAAGCCUAAAUACUACCUAAUGACCGAUAGCGAAAAGUACUGUGAAGGAAAGGUGAAAAGAACCCCGGGAGGGGAGUGAAAUAGAACCUGAAACUCUGUGCUUACAAGCAGAUAGAGCACGUCAAAGUGUGAUAUCGUACCUAUUGUAGAAUGGUCCGGCGAGUAUACGUAUGUAGCAAGGUUAAGAACUUCAGGUUCGGAGCCGAAGCGAGAGCGAGUCUGAAUGGGGCGUUUAGUUUCAUGCGUAUGACCCGAAACCAGGUGACCUAUCCAUGUCCAGGUUGAAGUGACGGUAACACGUCAUGGAGGACCGAACCCACUCCCGUUGAAAUGGUAGGGGAUGAGGUGUGGAUAGCGGAGAAAUUCCAAUCGAACUUGGAUAUAGCUGGUUCUCCCCGAAAUAGCUUUAGGGCUAGCGUUGUCAUAAAGAUUACCGGAGGUAAAGCACUGAAUAGUCUAGGGGCCGAGAGGCUACCGAAACUUAUCAAACUCUGAAUGCCGGAUAAUCAUGGACAGCAGUCAGACUGUGUGAGAUAAGUCUCAUAGUCAAAAGGGAAAGAGCCCAGACCCACAGCUAAGGUCCCAAAGUACAUUUAAGUGGAAAAGGAUGUAGGAUUGCGAAAACAACCAGGAUGUUGGCUUAGAAGCAGCCACACAUUUAAAGAGUGCGUAAUAGCUCACUGGUCGAGUGGUCCUGCGCCGAAAAUUUAACGGGGCUAAAAUGUACACCGAAGCUUGGGCUUGAUACGUAAGUAUCAGGGGUAGGGGAGCGUCGUAUACGGAGAGAAGUCAUAGCGGAAGCGGUGGUGGACUGUAUACGAGUGAGAAUGCCGGAAUGAGUAGCGAGAAUUAUGUGAGAAUCAUAAUGGCCGAAAGCCUAAGGUUUUAGGAGGAAGGUUCGUCCGCUCCUAGUAAGCCGGGAGCUAAGGUGAGGCCUAGCGGCGUAGCCGAUGCACAUACGGUAGAGAAUCCGUAGCCUCUCAAAGAUUUAAGCAAAGGGACACUCAGAAAGCGUGUGAGCCGGGCGAUGGUAGACCCGGUCGUAAGGGACCGAAAUGACGGGAAGCGCAUGUAGACUGAGGCGAGAAAAGCUUUGUGGAUAUCGAGAGAGCCCGUACCGCAAACCGACACAGGUAGGUAGGAAGAGAAUUCUAAGGCCAACGGGAGAAGGGUUGUUAAGGAACUCGGCAAGUUGACCCCGUAACUUAGGGAGAAGGGGUGCUCUGGAAACAGAGCCGCAGAGAAUAGGCCCAGGCGACUGUUUAGCAAAAACACAGGUCUCUGCUAAAUCGAAAGAUGACGUAUAGGGGCUGACACCUGCCCGGUGCCGGAAGGUUAAGAGGAGAUGUGAGAGCAUUGAAUUGAAGCCCCGGUAAACGGCGGCCGUAACUAUAACGGUCCUAAGGUAGCGAAAUUCCUUGUCAGGUAAGUUCUGACCCGCACGAAUGGUGUAACGAUCUGGGCACUGUCUCAACAACCCGCCCGGCGAAAUUGUAGUACCGGUGAAGAUGCCGGUUACCCGCGACUAGACGGAAAGACCCCAUGGAGCUUUACUGUAGCUUAAUAUUGGAUUUCGGUAUAUCAUGUACAGGAUAGGUGGGAGACUGGGAAACAGAGGCGUCAGCUUCUGCGGAGUCAACCUUGGGAUACCACUCUUGGUGUGCUGGAAUUCUAACCUGCGGCCGUGAAUCCGGUCGGGGGACAUUGUUAGGUGGGCAGUUUGACUGGGGCGGUCGCCUCCAAAAGAGUAACGGAGGCGCUCAAAGGUUCGCUCAGCAUGGACGGAAACCAUGCU
rnacentral:rRNA from 1 species